rnacentral:rRNA from 1 species
UACAGAGGUGGCAAGCGUUGUCCGGAUUUAUUGGGCGUAAAGAGCUCGUAGGCGGUUCAGUAAGUCGGGUGUGAAAACUUUGGGCUUAACCCAAAGCGUGCAUCCGAUACUGCUGUGACUUGAGUACGGUAGGGGAGCGGGGAAUUCCUAGUGUAGCGGUGAAAUGCGCAGAUAUUAGGAGGAACACCGGUGGCGAAGGCGGCAUUCUGGACCGACAUUGACGCUGAGGAGCGAAAGCCAGGGGAGCAAACGGGG